rnacentral:piRNA from 1 species
UCCCCUACAGAGAAGGGCUUGUGG